rnacentral:rRNA from 1 species
GGUAAACGAUGUGGGAAGGCUUAGACAGCUAGGAGGUUGGCUUAGAAGCAGCCAUCCUUUAAAGAAAGCGUAAUAGCUCACUAGUCGAGUCGGCCUGCGCGGAAGAUGUAACGGGGCUCAAACCACACACCGAAGCUGCGGGUGUCACGUAAGUGACGCGGUAGAGGAGCGUUCUGUAAGCCUGUGAAGGUGAGUUGAGAAGCUUGCUGGAGGUAUCAGAAGUGCGAAUGCUGACAUGAGUAACGACAAUGGGUGUGAAAAACACCCACGCCGAAAGACCAAGGGUUCCUGCGCAACGUUAAUCGACGCAGGGUUAGUCGGUUCCUAAGGCGAGGCUGAAAAGCGUAGUCGAUGGGAAACAGGUUAAUAUUCCUGUACUUCUGGUUACUGCGAUGGAGGGACGGAGAAGGCUAGGCCAGCUUGGCGUUGGUUGUCCAAGUUUAAGGUGGUAGGCUGAAAUCUUAGGUAAAUCCGGGGUUUCAAGGCCGAGAGCUGAUGACGAGUCGUCUUUUAGAUGACGAAGUGGUUGAUGCCAUGCUUCCAAGAAAAGCUUCUAAGCUUCAGGUAACCAGGAACCGUACCCCAAACCGACACAGGUGGUCGGGUAGAGAAUACCAAGGCGCUUGAGAGAACUCGGGUGAAGGAACUAGGCAAAAUGGCACCGUAACUUCGGGAGAAGGUGCGCCGGCUAGGGUGAAGGAUUUACUCCGUAAGCUCUGGCUGGUCGAAGAUACCAGGCCGCUGCGACUGUUUAUUAAAAACACAGCACUCUGCAAACACGAAAGUGGACGUAUAGGGUGUGACGCCUGCCCGGUGCCGGAAGGUUAAUUGAUGGGGUUAGCGCAAGCGAAGCUCUUGAUCGAAGCCCCGGUAAACGGCGGCCGUAACUAUAACGGUCCUAAGGUAGCGAAAUUCCUUGUCGGGUAAGUUCCGACCUGCACGAAUGGCGUAACGAUGGCGGCGCUGUCUCCACCCGAGACUCAGUGAAAUUGAAAUCGCUGUGAAGAUGCAGUGUAUCCGCGGCUAGACGGAAAGACCCCGUGAACCUUUACUGUAGCUUUGCACUGGACUUUGAGCCUGCUUGUGUAGGAUAGGUGGGAGGCUUUGAAGCGUGGACGCCAGUUCGCGUGGAGCCAUCCUUGAAAUACCACCCUGGCAUGCUUGAGGUUCUAACUCUGGUCCGUGAUCCGGAUCGAGGACAGUGUAUGGUGGGCAGUUUGACUGGGGCGGUCUCCUCCUAAAGAGUAACGGAGGAGUACGAAGGUGCGCUCAGACCGGUCGGAAAUCGGUCGCAGAGUAUAAAGGCAAAAGCGCGCUUGACUGCGAGACAGACACGUCGAGCAGGUACGAAAGUAGGUCUUAGUGAUCCGGUGGUUCUGUAUGGAAGGGCCAUCGCUCAACGGAUAAAAGGUACUCCGGGGAUAACAGGCUGAUACCGCCCAAGAGUUCAUAUCGACGGCGGUGUUUGGCACCUCGAUGUCGGCUCAUCACAUCCUGGGGCUGAAGCCGGUCCCAAGGGUAUGGCUGUUCGCCAUUUAAAGUGGUACGCGAGCUGGGUUUAGA